rnacentral:rRNA from 1 species
UACGUAGGGGGCAAGCGUUGUCCGGAAUUAUUGGGCGUAAAGAGCUCGUAGGCGGUUUGUUGCGUCGGCUGUGAAAUCCCGAGGCUCAACCUCGGGUCUGCAGUCGAUACGAGCAAACUAGAGUGUUGCAGGGGAGACUGGAAUUCCUGGUGUAGCGGUGAAAUGCGCAGAUAUCAGGAGGAACACCGGUGGCGAAGGCGGGUCUCUGGGCCGUAACUGACGCUGAGGAGCGAAAGCGUGGGGAGCGAACAGG